rnacentral:rRNA from 1 species
UACGUAGGGUGCAAGCGUUAAUCGGAAUUACUGGGCGUAAAGCGUGCGCAGGCGGUUAUGUAAGACAGGGGUGAAAUCCCCGGGCUUAACCUGGGAACUGCAUUUGUGACUGCAUAGCUAGAGUACGGUAGAGGGGGAUGGAAUUCCGCGUGUAGCAGUGAAAUGCGUAGAUAUGCGGAGGAACACCGAUGGCGAAGGCAGCCCCCUGGGCUGAGAUUGACGCUCAGGCACGAAAGCGUGGGGAGCAAACAGG